UACGUAGGGGGCAAGCGUUGUCCGGAUUUAUUGGGCGUAAAGCGCUCGCAGGUGGUUCAUUGCGUCGUGCGUGAAAGACCCCGGCUCAACUGGGGAGGGUCGUGCGAAACGGGUGAACUAGAGGCCAGUAGGGGGAUGCGGAAUUCCCGGUGUAGUGGUGAAAUGCGUAGAGAUCGGGAGGAAUACCUGUGGCGAAGGCGGCCUACUGGGCCGGACCUGACGCUGAGACGCGAAGGCGUGGGGAGCGAACGGG
rnacentral:rRNA from 1 species